CAGUAGCCGCGGUAAUACCAGCAGCCCAAGUGGUGGUCGCGAUUAUUGGGCCUAAAGCGCUCGUAGCCGGGCCGGUAAGUCCCUUGUGGAAUCGGACGGCCUAACCGUUCGGCGUGCAAGGGAUACUGUCGGUCUUGAGGCCGGGAGACGUCCGAGGUACUCCGGGGGUAGCGGUGAAAUGUUCUGAUCCUCGGGGGACCACCGGUGGCGAAGGCGUUCGACGAGAACGGGCCUGACGGUGAGGGGCGAAGGCUAGGGGAGCAAACGGGAUUAGAGACCCGUGUAGUCCCUGUCUCUUAUA
rnacentral:rRNA from 1 species